rnacentral:lncRNA from 1 species
UUCAUUCAGACUACGGUGUUUGAUGUGAGUGAUAGAUAAACAUUUGGUUUAUUUGCUUCAGAUUGACAAAAUCCAUACAUUUUCAUUGUUUGUUUGAGAAAGUUUUUUUUUGUUUGGGGGGGGUGGAUGGAUGGAUUUUUGUUUUGAAUGAGCACUUUUCUUUUGAAAAAAAAGACGGAUCGGUAAGAAAGUCGAGAUAAAUAUGUAUUGGACGUGGCUGUGGGCCAGUUGUUUCCCUGCUUGGUGCAACCUCAGCAGCGCCCUGUCGUGACGUCCCAGAAGUUUAAAGUGGGCCGCGCUCUGCUCAGCGGGAGGAGAGGAGACGUACUGCCGAGAAGGGAGGGAUGCUUCUCAUCUCUUCGCUGUUACACACAUACUUGUAUCUUGAACUGACUUCGUUCAAUCGCGUAACGUUACCAGAGGACGGACCUGCCUGACCAUUAACAGUUACUUUCAAGUCGUCGAUAAGAAUCUCACAUCUUCAAACGGCCCAAGACCCAUCACCUCUCCCCGUCUAGAUCAGAGGAACAUCGGGAACACCAGCCCAUCUGUCGUGUGUCCCUGCCAACAGAGUCUCCCUGCCUCCCUGCAGCUCGUUCUCUCCACCACCCCGAGACUUCAGGAAACAUCCAGGGACAACGGUCACCACCACCGGUGAGUUAAGGUGAGCUAGAGGCUUGAAUGCCCCCCCCCCCAGGCCAAUACAUCUGUUGCAGUUCCCUUUCUUCA